rnacentral:rRNA from 1 species
UCUUUUGGAGAGUUUGAUCCUGGCUCAGGACGAACGCUGGCGGCGUGCCUAAUACAUGCAAGUCGAGCGGACCGAAUAGAAGCUUGCUUCUGUUUGGUUAGCGGCGGACGGGUGAGUAACACGUGGGCAACCUGCCCGUAAGACGGGGAUAACUUCGGGAAACCGGAGCUAAUACCCGAUAACCCUGAAGACCGCAUGGUCUUUAGUUGAA